rnacentral:rRNA from 1 species
UUAGAUACCCUGGUAGUCCUAGCCGUAAACGAUGGAUACUAAGUGUUGUGCAUAUCGACCCGCGCAGUGCUAUAGCUAACCCGUUAAGUAUCCCUCCUGGGGAGUACAUUCGCAAGAAUGAAACUCAAAGGAAUUGACGGGGGCCCGCACAAGUGGUGGAGCAUGUGGUUCAAUUCAAUGCAAAUCGAAGAACCUUACCAGGGCUUGACAUGCCAUGAAUCAUCCCGAAAGAGAGGAGUGCCUUCGAGAACGCGGACAUAGGUGGUGCAUGGCUGUUGUUAGCUCGUGCCAUAAGGUGUUGGGUUAAGUUCCACAGCAAGCGUAACCCUCAUGUUUAGUUGCCGACAUUUAGUUUGGAACCCUGAACAGACUAUCGGUGAUAAGCCGGAGGAAAGUGAGGAUGACGUCAAGUCAUCAUGCCCCUUACGCCCUGGGCGACACAUGUGUUACAAUGACCGGGACAAAGGGUCGCGACCCCGCGAGGGCAAGCUAACCUCAAAAACGUGGCCUCAGUUCGGAUUGUAGGCUGCAACUCGCCUGCAUGAAGCCGGAAUCGCUAGUAAUUUCCAGUCAGCCAUACGUCGGUGAAUCCGUUCCCGGGCCUUGUACACACCACCCAUCACACUAUGGGAGCUGGCCAUGCCCCAAUUCAUUACCUUAACCUCAAGGAGGGGGAUGCCGAAGGCUGGGCU